UUAACAGGUCAGGGGAUUGGUUCCAAAAUAAUCAAGACUGUGGCUAAGGUGAGAAGGGUGGGAGCUACAAGCUAGGUCUGAAAAAGCAAAGAUGUAUGAGGGUGAAUUGAAUGAGUGGGUGAGAUUCUUCAACUUUUUGGCCUCAGAACAAUGAGGAAUGUCUUCUCCACAGGUGGCCCUGGAUCAAGGUUGCUCCCAGUUCCGCCUGGCAGUUCUGGACUGGAACAAGACGGCCAUGGAUUUGUACAAGGCCCUAGGAGCCCAAGAUCUGACUGAAGCAGAGGGCUGGCACUCCUUCUGCUUUAAAGGAGAGGCAAUGAGAGAGUUGGCAGGAAGGUGAUGCCAUCGCUUGGGGAUCUCUCUAUUGGAGUUUCUGUCUCCAUCCACUCAAGCACUUCUCAGAGACCAUUUCCACAGGGACCCAGAGGCCUCCCUGAGAAAAGAGGGUUGUGGAUGCAGAUGCCUGGAGUACAGAAAGAGCAGAAUUGAGGGAGAGGCCUUGUUGGGGGUGAAAAAUAAAUGAGAAUCACUGUGUCCUGGUGUGGUAUUGGGUAGAAG
rnacentral:lncRNA from 1 species